rnacentral:rRNA from 1 species
AGCUACAGGCUUAACACAUGCAAGUCGAGGGGCAGCAUCAUCAAAGCUUGCUUUGAUGGAUGGCGACCGGCGCACGGGUGAGUAACACGUAUCCAACCUGCCGACAACACUGGGAUAGCCUUUCGAAAGAAAGAUUAAUACCGAAUGGCAUAGUUUUCCCGCAUGGGAUAAUUAUUAAAGAAUUUCGGUUGUCGAUGGGGAUGCGUUCCAUUAGGCAGUUGGCGGGGUAACGGCCCACCAAACCUACGAUGGAUAGGGGUUCUGAGAGGAAGGUCCCCCACAUUGGAACUGAGACACGGUCCAAACUCCUACGGGAGGCAGCAGUGAGGAAUAUUGGUCAAUGGACGAGAGUCUGAACCAGCCAAGUAGCGUGAAGGAUGACUGCCCUAUGGGUUGUAAACUUCUUUUAUACGGGAAUAAAGUGAGCCACGUGUGGCUUUUUGUAUGUACCGUAUGAAUAAGGAUCGGCUAACUCCGUGCCAGCAGCCGCGGUAAUACGGAGGAUCCGAGCGUUAUCCGGAUUUAUUGGGUUUAAAGGGAGCGUAGGCGGGUUGUUAAGUCAGUUGUGAAAGUUUGCGGCUCAACCGUAAAAUUGCAGUUGAUACUGGCGACCUUGAGUGCAACAGAGGUAGGCGGAAUUCGUGGUGUAGCGGUGAAAUGCUUAGAUAUCACGAAGAACUCCGAUUGCGAAGGCAGCUUACUGGAUUGUAACUGACGCUGAUGCUCGAAAGUGUGGGUAUCAAACAGGAUUAGAUACCCUGGUAGUCCACACAGUAAACGAUGAAUACUCGCUGUUGGCGAUAUACAGUCAGCGGCCAAGCGAAAGCAUUAAGUAUUCCACCUGGGGAGUACGCCGGCAACGGUGAAACUCAAAGGAAUUGACGGGGGCCCGCACAAGCGGAGGAACAUGUGGUUUAAUUCGAUGAUACGCGAGGAACCUUACCCGGGCUUAAAUUGCAACUGACUGAACCGGAAACGGUUCUUUCUUCGGACAGUUGUGAAGGUGCUGCAUGGUUGUCGUCAGCUCGUGCCGUGAGGUGUCGGCUUAAGUGCCAUAACGAGCGCAACCCUUACGGGUAGUUACCAUCAGGUUAUGCUGGGGACUCUACCCGGACUGCCGUCGUAAGAUGUGAGGAAGGUGGGGAUGACGUCAAAUCAGCACGGCCCUUACGUCCGGGGCUACACACGUGUUACAAUGGGGGGUACAGAAGGCAGCUACACGGCGACGUGGUGCUAAUCCCGAAAGCCUCUCUCAGUUCGGAUUGGAGUCUGCAACCCGACUCCAUGAAGCUGGAUUCGCUAGUAAUCGCGCAUCAGCCACGGCGCGGUGAAUACGUUCCCGGGCCUUGUACACACCGCCCGUCAAGCCAUGAAAGCCGGGGGUACCUGAAGUACGUAACCGCGAGGAGCGUCCUAGGGUAAAACUGGUGAUUGGGGCUAAGUCGUA